rnacentral:rRNA from 1 species
CCUACGGGAGGCAGCAGUGGGGAAUAUUGGACAAUGGGCGAAAGCCUGAUCCAGCCAUGCCGCGUGUGUGAAGAAGGCCUUCGGGUUGUAAAGCACUUUCAGUGGGGAAGAAAGCCUUGGGGCUAAUACCCUCGAGGAAGGACAUUACCCACAGAAGAAGCACCGGCUAACUCCGUGCCAGCAGCCGCGGUAAUACGGAGGGUGCGAGCGUUAAUCGGAAUUACUGGGCGUAAAGCGCGCGUAGGCGGUCUGAUAAGCCGGUUGUGAAAGCCCCGGGCUCAACCUGGGAACGGCAUCCGGAACUGUCAGGCUAGAGUGCAGGAGAGGAAGGUAGAAUUCCCGGUGUAGCGGUGAAAUGCGUAGAGAUCGGGAGGAAUACCAAUGGCGAAGGCGGCCUUCUGGACUGACACUGACGCUGAGGUGCGAAAGCGUGGGUAGCAAACAGGAUUAGAUACCCCAGUAGUC